rnacentral:RNase_P_RNA from 3 species
AAAGUAAACCAGGUGGUCGCCCCGAUUAAAAUCGGGGAGGAAAGUCCGAGCUCCCCCAGGGACAGUGCCCCGUAACGCGGGGGACCUGUGAAGGUACGGAAAGUGCCACAGAAACUAAACCGGCCGGUUGUCAACUGAAAAGUCGGCAGCCGACCAAGGGUGAAACGGUGGUGUAAGAGACCACCCGGCUUUGAGGAAACUUAAAGUUGGGAAAACCCCACUGGGAGCAAGACCGCAUAAGGAAGGAGAAAACCUGGUUCGCUUGUACUUCCGGGUAGGUCGCUAGGACCUCUUUAGCAAUAAAGGGGCUAGAUUAAUGGUCACCAGCAAGCUAAGACAGCUUGUCUCACAGAACUCGGCUUAUGGUUUACUCUGGCU